rnacentral:rRNA from 1 species
GAUGAACGCUGGCGGCGUGCCUAAUACAUGCAAGUCGAGCGAACAGACGAGGUGCUUGCUCCUCUUUCGUUAGCGGCGGACGGGUGAGUAACACGUGGAUAACCUACCUUUAAGACUGGGAUAACAUCGGGAAACCGGAGCUAAUACCGGAUAAUAUCUUUAACCGCAUGGUUCAAUAGUGAAAGAUGGUUUUGCUGCCCCUUAUAGAUGUAUCGCCGUCGCAUAAGCUAUUUGGUAAGUUAACGGCCUACCAAGGCAACGAUCCGUGGCCGACAGGAAAGGGUGAACGGCCACUCGGGAACGGAGACCCGGCCCAUGCCCCUAGGGGAGGCGGCAGUAGGAAUUCUGCAGCAAUGGGCGAAAGCCUAACGGAGCAACGCAGCGUGAGUGAUGAAGGUCUUCGGUUCGAAAAACUCUGUUAUUAGGGAAGUACAAAUGUGUAAGUAACUAUGCACGACGUGACGGUACCUAAUCAGAAAGGCACGGCUAACUACGUG